rnacentral:rRNA from 1 species
AAUCCCAAAAAGUGCGUCGUAGUCCGGAUUGGAGUCUGCAACUCGACUCCAUGAAGUCGGAAUCGCUAGUAAUCGUGGAUCAGAAUGCCACGGUGAAUACGUUCCCGGGCCUUGUACACACCGCCCGUCACACCAUGGGAGUGGGCUGCAAAAGAAGUAGGUAGUUUAACCUUCGGGGGGACGCUUACCACUUUGUGGUUCAUGACUGGGGUGAAGUCGUAACAAGGUAGCGCUAGGGGAACCUGGCGCUGGAU